rnacentral:rRNA from 1 species
UACGGAGGGGGCUAGCGUUGUUCGGAAUUACUGGGCGUAAAGCGCACGUAGGCGGCUUUGCAAGUUAGAGGUGAAAGCCCGGGGCUCAACUCCGGAAUUGCCUUUAAAACUGCAUCGCUAGAAUUGUGGAGAGGUAAGUGGAAUUCCGAGUGUAGAGGUGAAAUUCGUAGAUAUUCGGAAGAACACCAGUGGCGAAGGCGAUUUACUGGACACAUAUUGACGCUGAGGUGCGAAAGCGUGGGGAGCAAACAGG